AACAUUAGGGUUUGCAACACAAGUAUAUAUAUUGCAUCAUAGUAAGGUAAAUAGACAUCAGUCUCUGAAUGGCACUGCGCGUUGUUGUUUUCUGUUGGUGAGGUAUAUGUUUGAAGGCCGAAGUGGACGGAAAUGAAGAUAAUUCUUUGAUUUUGAUUCUCUAAAGUUGAAUAAUCUUUUUUAGUUAUUCCCAUUAUAUCAUAACAUUUUGUUGUUGAUUACUUGAUUUCACAAAAGUCGAUUGAUUUUUGUUCAUGGUUGAUGCACUGCAUCUGUUUACCCUCUCCAAUUUUGUCCAGCUUCAAUGGCUGUGGAGUUAAAACUGAUGCAAAGAUUCAAAAAGGUUGACUUACCAGCCCAUUGCACCGAUUUUUAAAUUGCCAUGGGUCAAAUGGAUUUACCGAAAUCCCCAUAUAGAAAAAGUUUUUUUUUAAAGCAAAUGUGUCACUUGUAUUCUGUUUUCAGUGAUUUGGCAGACGAUGAUUUAGUAUUAAACCCCUUAUUGAUAUACUGAUACGCUGUGAUGACCAUAAACUCCACUUAUCUGAUACCAUAUAACAUUAGUAUUUUUGUUUUAUGUUUUGUUUGUUGUUACUUCGUCGUGUAGUGACCUCACUAUAGUUAUAAAGGGUUGGCAAAUGAUGUGAAAAUUUCUUAUCCUAUACACUGAAUAAAUAUUGUGAAGAUCAAAAACUCCGCUUAUUAUCUGAUGCCUUCCCUGUCUUAAUUUUCUCACUUUUAGUUUUGGUUGUAACUCUUGAGUGAUUUUUGUGUGUUGUGGGGUUUGAAAAAACUUUAUAUGAUUUUGUACAAUUGUUUAACUCAUCAAUGAUGAAGAAAUGCAGACGGGCGGACUGAACUGAUGCCGUGUUGAUUGUCUGCCACUUCCAUUUUCGGAAUUUCUCUGAGAUUAUAUUGCAUAUGAUUGUGUUGAUUAAAUAUAUGUAUUUUGGCUGGUAUUUUUUUGUUUUUUUAAAGGAUUGAAACUUCUGCAAUGAUGCAGUUGCAUAAAUAUGUCUGGACAUAUGAAUUUUUUUAUGAUAUAAUAUAAUUGCUUCUUCUGAGCAAAAGUAUCAAUCCAUUGAUUGUGCAUUCUUUUACCCACCACUUCUCCAGUUGGAUGAGUUUAUGUCUUUGUUUAUAUCACCAAUUUGCUAUUUGUAAUUUUAAUUUAUUUCUGCUAGUUGCUGGUUUUAAUUUUAGUUUAUCUUUUUCCUUAACUGGCCUUGAAAUCUUUAAUUGUAAAUUGCUAUUCGCUUGUUUGGUUUUCUCUGAUGACUUAUUUUAAAGAAUCUAUUAGUAUCAAAUAAGAGCAUGGCAUCUAGUCACCGCACUCACAAGAAUAAGCACAAAAGACGCCGAACAGAAUUUGAGAUUUUUGCUUCCAGUUUUGGAAUUAACAAGAAUAGCAUCCUGUGCAUGUAAAAUCUAACAAGAUCAUAAGGUAAAGGAUUAAUUGUGGCAAUGUUGAUCAAGACAAUGAAAAAUCAACUGAAAUGGGAAGACAUUGGUUAAAAAAGUGAAGCAAAUUCAGUCCGGUAUGUCACUGAUAGCAAGAGUUAAAUUUGGAAAAUGGUCUGUGAUUCCAACCAUGGUGACAAUGCAAUACUACUAAACUGCAAAGAUGAAACUUGAUGACGGAUUUUGUGUAACUACUUCACAACACGGCAGCAUAAGGUUGAAAAGUUUGCAAAUUAAUUCAUCUGGUUGUUUCAUCAUUGUAUAUUUUUCUACAAGGUUUAGAGAUAAUUGAGACGACCGAUAAAUAAUUAGCUUUUCA